UACGUAGGGUGCUAGCGUUGUCCGGAAUCAUUGGGCGUAAAGCGCGUGUAGGCGGUCCGGUAAGUCCGCUGUGAAAGUCGGGGGCUCAACCCUCGGAUGCCGGUGGAUACUGUCGGGCUUGAGUACGGAAGAGGCGAGUGGAAUUCCUGGUGUAGCGGUGAAAUGCGCAGAUAUCAGGAGGAACACCAAAUGCGAAGGCAGCUCGCUGGGACGUCACUGACGCUGAGACGCGAAAGCGUGGGGAGCAAACAGG
rnacentral:rRNA from 1 species